rnacentral:ncRNA from 2 species
CCCACCCCGUCAGGAGAGAGUUUUCCUCAGGAAAACCGCCGAAGGCGCAGAACGGCUGAUUGCAGCGGUUUGAACGCUCAGGCAAAAGGACUGACAAACGUUG